rnacentral:rRNA from 1 species
UACGGAGGGGGCUAGCGUUGUUCGGAAUUACUGGGCGUAAAGCGCACGUAGGCGGCUUUGUAAGUUAGAGGUGAAAGCCCAGGGCUUAACCCUGGAAUUGCCUUUAAGACUGCAUCGCUAGAAUUGUGGAGAGGUAAGUGGAAUUCCGAGUGUAGAGGUGAAAUUCGUAGAUAUUCGGAAGAACACCAGUGGCGAAGGCGGCUCACUGGCUCGUAUCUGACGCUCAGGCGGCGACAGCGUGGGGAUCAAACAGG